ACAGCAUAGAGAUGGACAGAGGUCAUAACAGCAUAGAGAUGGACAGAGGUCAUAACAGCAUAGAGAUGGACAGAGGUCAUAACAGCAUAGAGAUGGACAGAGGUCAUAACAGCAUAGAGAUGGACAGAGGUCACAACAGCAUAGAGAUGGACAGAGGUCACAACAGCAUAGAGAUGGACAGAGGUCACAACAGCAUAGAGAUGGACAGAGGUCAUAACAGCAUAGAGAUGGACAGAGGUCAUAUCAGCAUAGAGAUGGACAGAGGUCAUAACAGCAUAGAGAUGGACAGAGGUCAUAACAGCAUAGAGAUGGACAGAGGUCACAACAGCAUAGAGAUGGACAGAGGUCAUAACAGCAUAGAGAUCGACAGACAUUACCAUUGAGGGCUUCCACCAUUUGAAUGUAAUCAACUAGG